AACGAACGCUGGCGGCAUGCCUAACACAUGCAAGUCGAACGAGACCUUCGGGUCUAGUGGCGCACGGGUGCGUAACGCGUGGGAACCUGCCCUUAGGUUCGGAAUAACUCCCCGAAAGGGGUGCUAAUACCGGAUAAUGUCUUCGGACCAAAGAUUUAUCGCCUUUGGAUGGGCCCGCGUUGGAUUAGCUAGUUGGUAGGGUAAAAGCCUACCAAGGCGACGAUCCAUAGCUGGUCUGAGAGGAUGAUCAGCCACACUGGGACUGAGACACGGCCCAGACCCCUAGGGGGGGCAGCAGGGGGGAAUAUUGGACAGGGGGCGAAAGCCUGACCCAGCAAGGCCGGGGGGGUGAUGAAGGCCUUGGGGUUGAAAAGCUUUUUUCCCCGGGAUGAUAAUAACAGUCCCGGGAAAAAAAGCCCCGGCAAACUCCGU
rnacentral:rRNA from 1 species